rnacentral:lncRNA from 1 species
AAAAAACACCACAAGGUAUUUCUUUUUUAUGUUUCUUCAAUAAGAAUUUGUAAAUGAAAUUCAAAUCUUUGAUUCNCUUACCCAAGUAUUUAAAACAAUUACUAUUAUCCAUUGUAUGCUUUAAGUUUAUACCAUCACCCUCUGAACUCAACCCUAAUCCAUAACAAAAUUCCUUUUCGUUCAUGUUCACAACUUUAUCUCCAAUUACAAAANCGAAACUCGAAUCCACCCAUUUAAACGUUAACUCCCGCAAAAUUUGACUAUUCAUUGUGACUUUACCACUCAAUUGUAAAAACCAACCAAAAGGAGUCUUCGAAAUAAGUGACCGUU